UGUUGUGGUUGUCUCUUUUUAUAGGCCUUCAGCUGCCUUUACGGAGACUAGUAUGAAUGUUUCUGCUUCCCAAUCUAAAGAAAUGGUUAUGGAUAAUGUGGAUCAGUCUGUUCAGAACUUUCAAGUCCAAAGUGCUGGUCUUGCUGAUUUAGAAUUAUUGGAAAUGGUGGAUACUACAGAUAUAUAUAUAUAUGUCAGUGCUGACAAAACCUUGGGUCAUAACUUGGAAAACCUUGAUUAUUAACUCUUCCUUUCACCUUCUAUUACUUCACUUGGCAAUCAAAACCUGAAAAUUUUGCAAGUACUGCUGUUGCUUCCUCCCACACAUUCGGGCCUUCUGUUUGUACUACUUCUGCUCCUGUUCCUGUUCAUUCUGUUAACUGGUGAUACAGCAUUCAGGUCUUAUGAUCCUGUUACCAUUUCCAACAAGUUCACUUUCAGGACCGAGUAAAGUGUUAGCAGUGUCAGCAUGCUGGGGUGUGCCUGUUCAACAAAGCAGAAAUUAUGUGGCAACAAGGAAUAAAAGAUCUACGAACCAAGUGUGUUUAAAGGGCAGCAGUUUCAGUUUUAAACUGUACGAGACAGCUCAAAGAAUAUUCCACACCAGGAGUGAAGAAAGAAAUAAUUCAGCUAAACAGUUGUAAAUUAAGGCUCAAGACAGAAUACGUGUUUGUGUGAUUUAUGCAAAUAAGUGACAGAAUAUAAAUAAAAUCUGAUCACUAUAUAGUA